rnacentral:rRNA from 1 species
UUGACCUCGGAUCAGGUAGGAAUACCCGCUGAACUUAAGCAUAUCAAUAAGCGGAGGAAAAGAAACCAACAGGGAUUGCCUCAGUAACGGCGAGUGAAGCGGCAACAGCUCAAAUUUGAAAUCUGGCCUCACGGUCCGAGUUGUAAUUUGUAGAGGAUGCUUUUGGCGAGGUGCUUUCCGAGUUCCCUGGAACGGGACGCCAUAGAGGGUGAGAGCCCCGUACGGUAAGACCACCGAGCCUCUGUAAAGCUCCUUCGACGAGUCGAGUAGUUUGGGAAUGCUGCUCUAAAUGGGAGGUGUACGUCUUCUAAAGCUAAAUACCGGCCAGAGACCGAUAGCGCACAAGUAGAGUGAUCGAAAGAUGAAAAGCACUUUGAAAAGAGGGUUAAAAAGUACGUGAAAUUGUUGAAAGGGAAGCAUUCAUGACCAGACUUGGGCUUGGUUGAACAUCCGGCGUUCUCGCCGGUGCACUCUGCCAGUCCAGGCCAGCAUCAGUUUGCCCCGGGGGACAAAGGCGGUGGGAAUGUGGCUCUCUUCGGGGAGUGUUAUAGCCCGCCGUGUAAUGCCCUGGGGCGGACUGAGGAACGCG